UACGGAGGGUGCGAGCGUUGUUCGGAAUUACUGGGCGUAAAGCGCACGUAGGCGGCUUUGUAAGUUAGGGGUGAAAGCCCGGAGCUCAACUCCGGAAUUGCCUUUAAGACUGCAUCGCUAGAAUUGUGGAGAGGUAAGUGGAAUUCCGAGUGUAGAGGUGAAAUUCGUAGAUAUUCGGAAGAACACCAGUGGCGAAGGCGACUUACUGGACACAUAUUGACGCUGAGGUGCGAAAGCGUGGGGAGCAAACAGG
rnacentral:rRNA from 1 species